GACGAACGCUGGCGGCGUGCUUAACACAUGCAAGUCGAACGGAAAGGCCCUGCUUUUGUGGGGUGCUCGAGUGGCGAACGGGUGAGUAACACGUGAGUAACCUGCCCUUGACUUUGGGAUAACUUCAGGAAACUGGGGCUAAUACCGGAUAGGAGCUCCUGCUGCAUGGUGGGGGUUGGAAAGUUUCGGCGGUUGGGGAUGGACUCGCGGCUUAUCAGCUUGUUGGUGGGGUAGUGGCUUACCAAGGCUUUGACGGGUAGCUGGCCUGAGAGGGUGACCGGCCACAUUGGGACUGAGAUACGGCCCAGACUCCCACGGGAGGCAGCAGUGGGGAAUAUUGCACAAUGGGCGGAAGCCUGAUGCAGCAACGCCGCGUGCGGGAUGACGGCCUUCGGGUUGUAAACCGCUUUCGCCUGUGACGAAGCGUGAGUGACGGUAAUGGGUAAAGAAGCACCGGCUAACUACGUGCCAGCAGCCGCGGUGAUACGUAGGGUGCGAGCGUUGUCCGGAUUUAUUGGGCGUAAAGGGCUCGUAGGUGGUUGAUCGCGUCGGAAGUGUAAUCUUGGGGCUUAACCCUGAGCGUGCUUUCGAUACGGGUUGACUUGAGGAAGGUAGGGGAGAAUGGAAUUCCUGGUGGAGCGGUGGAAUGCGCAGAUAUCAGGAGGACCACCAGUGGCGAAGGCGGUUCUCUGGGCCUUUCCUGACGCUGAGGAGCGAAAGCGUGGGGAGCGAACAGGCUUAGAUACCCUGGUAGUCCACGCUGUAAACGGUGGGUACUAGGUGUGGGGUCCAUUCCACGGGUUCCGUGCCGUAGCUAACGCUUUAAGUACCCCGCCUGGGGAGUACGGCCGCAAGGCUAAAACUCAAAGGAAUUGACGGGGCCCCGCACAAGCGGCGGAGCAUGCGGAUUAAUUCGAUGCAACGCGUAGAACCUUACCUGGGUUUGACAUGGAUCGGGAGUGCUCAGAGAUGGGUGUGCCUCUUUUGGGGUCGGUUCACAGGUGGUGCAUGGCUGUCGUCAGCUCGUGUCGUGAGAUGUUGGGUUAAGUCCCGCAACGAGCGCAACCCUUGUUCACUGUUGCCAGCACGUUAUGGUGGGGACUCAGUGGAGACCGCCGGGGUCAACUCGGAGGAAGGUGGGGAUGACGUCAAGUCAUCAUGCCCCUUAUGUCCAGGGCUUCACGCAUGCUACAAUGGCUGGUACAGAGAGUGGCGAGCCUGUGAGGGUGAGCGAAUCUCGGAAAGCCGGUCUCAGUUCGGAUUGGGGUCUGUAACUCGACCUCAUGAAGUCGGAGUCGCUAGUAAUCGCAGAUCAGCAACGCUGCGGUGAAUACGUUCCCGGGGCU
rnacentral:rRNA from 1 species